GAUGAACGCUGGCGGCGUGCCUAAUACAUGCAAGUCGAGCGAACAGACGAGGAGCUUGCUCCUCUGACGUUAGCGGCGGACGGGUGAGUAACACGUGGAUAACCUACCUAUAAGACUGGGAUAACUUCGGGAAACCGGAGCUAAUACCGGAUAAUAUAUUGAACCGCAUGGUUCAAUAGUGAAAGACGGUUUUGCUGUCACUUAUAGAUGGAUCCGCGCCGCAUUAGCUAGUUGGUAAGGUAACGGCUUACCAAGGCGACGAUGCGUAGCCGACCUGAGAGGGUGACCGCCAACAGGGAAACUGAACCCGGGCCAAGACCCCUCGGGGGGGCACAGGGGGGGAUUCUUCCGCAAGGGGGGAAAGCCUGACGGAGCACCGCGGGGGGAGGAAGAAAGGUCUUGGGAUCGAAAACUUGUGUUAUUGGGAAAAAACAAAGGUGUAAUAAAAUAUGCCCUUCUGGAGGGUACCUAAUAAGAAGGCCCCGCCUAACUCCGGC
rnacentral:rRNA from 1 species